UACGGAGGGUGCGAGCGUUAAUCGGAAUUACUGGGCGUAAAGGGUGCGUAGGUGGUACAGCAAGUCACAUGUAGAAGCCCUGGGCUCAACCUGGGAAUGUCGUGUGAUACUGUUGAACUGGAGUACGGGAGAGGGCAGUGGAAUUUCCGGUGUAGCGGUGAAAUGCGUAGAUAUCGGAAGGAACACCGGUGGCGAAGGCGGCUGCCUGGCCUGAUACUGACACUGAGGCACGAAAGCGUGGGGAGCAAAC
rnacentral:rRNA from 1 species